ensembl:snoRNA SNORA74 Small nucleolar RNA SNORA74
UCCAACAGUUGUCAGCUAUUCAGGCUGUGUGGUGCCUGUGAUUGUGUUACACUGUUGGAAGAAUAAAUGCUGUUUAUUAAGGGUUGGCUCCGAGCACUGUUUUGGUGUAGGUGCUGAUUACCUUUAGGCAGUGUUGCAUCCCUGAGAGUGGAAUAACUCCUUGUGGAGUUGGUCCUGGUCUAGGUGCAAACAGU